rnacentral:rRNA from 1 species
GAUGAACGCUAGCGGCAGGCUUAACACAUGCAAGUCGCGGGGUAUAGUUCUUCGGAACUAGAGACCGGCGCACGGGUGCGUAAUGCGUAUGCAAUCUACCUUUUGCAGCGGGAUAGCCCAGAGACAUUUGGCUUAAUACCUCAUGGUCUGUGAGAAUGGCAUCAUUUUCACCUUAAAGUCACAACGGCAAAGGAUGAGCAUGAGUCCCAGUGGCUUGUUGGUAAGGUAACGGCUUACCAAGGCAACGAUGGGCAGGGGUCCUGAGAGGGAGAUCACCCACACUGGUACUGAGACACGGACCAGACUCCUACGGGAGGCAGCAGUGAGGAAUAUUGGACAAUGGGCGCAAGCCUGAUCCAGCCAUGCCGCGUGCAGGAUGACGGUCCUAUGGAUUGUAAACUGCUUUUGUACAGGAAGAAACACUGGUUCGUGAACCAGCUUGACGGUACUGUAAGAAUAAGGAUCGGCUAACUCCGUGCCAGCCGCCGCAGUAAUAC